rnacentral:misc_RNA from 1 species
AACUUUCGGCAAUGGAUCUCUUGGCUCUCGCAUCGAUGAAGAACGCAGCGAAAUGCGAUAAGUAAUGUGAAUUGCAGAAUUCCGUGAAUCAUCGAAUCUUUGAACGCAUCUUGCGCUCCUUGGUAUUCCGAGGAGCAUGCCUGUUUGAGUGUCAUUCAACUCCUCAACCACAUUCAUUUAUUGAUUGUGGCUUGGAUGGUGGGGGUUUGUUUGCAGGCUUCUUCUGUGAAAACAGAAAGGGUCGGCUCCCCUGAAAUGUAUCAGUGGUAUCUGAGGCUAUUGCUAUAGGUGUGAUAAUUAUCUAUGCCCUUGGUAUGCCGCAUGGAACUGCUUCCAACAGAGAUAAUCUUUUUGAUGAAAUUUGACCUCAAAUCAGGUAGGACUACCCGCUGAACUUAAGCAUAUCAAUAAGCGGAGGCU